AGAGUUGGCAUUAGACCAGCCGGAUCUUCGUAGUGUUCCAGCGUUCAGGACAGACAUGGGUUAAGAAAGUAGUAGUGUCGCAAGGAUUGUGAAACACCGCGAGUCGAGUAUGAAGUAUAUUUACCGGACGCUAUACCGCAGUAAAUUAUAACGUUCAACGCGUUCCCCGAGAAGCUACGUAAUAAUCCGAAAUGUCACGUCGCCCCUCUCUUUUCGUGCCGAUUGCAAAAAGAAAUAUAAGGAAUUCCGUUAAAAAGCAAUCUCUUGCUAUAAUAUAUCGUUCUUUUUUUUUGUCAUUUAACAAGUGAACGCGUUGUGAAUAUUUAUUUGAGAGCGUCUAGAGAGCAUGAACGAGAAACAAAAACAAAAUUGUUGAACCGAGAACGAUCCUGAUCUUUCUCACCCGGGUGUCGCGAGUAUUCUCAUUUCGCCGUGUGUUUGGGAAAUGAAAGGUGAGACGCGCCUGAGGUCUUGAACGCGAGCGAUCGGCAACUCGGAGAAAAGACCAGAAUCGUUGUACGAGAUGACGUGACGAUACAAUAGUUAGUAUGAUGAAAUGCGACCGAUGUAUGAUGUAGUUAUAUCACAAGGGCUAGAAGGACAGAGGACCAAAAAAAAUGCAUACAGUUUUAAGUGGUAGGCUUGUGAGAUAUUACGCAUUUAUACGCGUAUAUAUGCGUACACGUGUGCACAGGCAGACGGCUGAAUUGGCCAGUAGCUUCGACAGACAUUCCCCGCAAGUUAGGAAUAAUUAUCACUUGCAGACAGACACGUGUGUCGAUAUAUACGCGUAUACAGAUGUGUCCUGUGUACAUGUGUGUGUAUGUGUGUGUAUGCGUGUGUAUGUGUAUGUCACUGAUAAAACUUGAACUAUGUAAUACUAAAAUAUUAGGCAGUGGGCGAGUGUUUCGCUAGCAACGUACGGGCAGGGCCUGGCUAUUUGCGCUCGCUCCAGCUACUGCCUCCGCCACUCUGUCGCUACAGGCGCAGGGCGCAGGGCGCGCUAAGAGAGGCUCUGGCAUAUCUGCUAUCACAUGCCACCGCCUCAACGGACCAACGUUGUUGGUUGUCUGAUUAGCUUGAGCGUGCCAGCGCAGGGGACUCUAUUCUGGCAACAACGACCUGGCCAGCCAGCCCGGAUGGCGUACAGCGCAGCGCAGUAGGACUGAUAUCCAGUAUGUAGGUAGGUAGGUAAAGUAGUAGUAGUAGUAGUAGUGGUAGUAGUAGUAGUAGAAGACCCCGAUUUGGCCCCGGACUUGGCCCUUCACACGCGAUUGACGGACGGACGGACGGACGGAUAGAGGCACGGCGUCGCGGCCAGCGCAGACAAUGCAAACCAGUGCACCACCGAACAAAGAGCGGCGGCGGGCACCCCCGACAUGCUUUGCAUUACCCAGCGUGGGCCUGCGCGCAAUGUGCCUCUGCAAUACAAACAAAGAUCCAACCGCGUUAGCUGUAUGGUUAUCUCCAACCAUCCUCCUGUUUCAAUAUGCUCUUUUUUUUUGCUAUUUUUCUUUUCCUUUUGCCCUAUUCCUCUCCUACAUUCUUGCUGACUUUAAGCUUACAACACACGUUAAAGCUGUAAUGUCCCGUUCGUUCGAAAGAGAACCCGGACUCGAAUGCGACGUACGCUGCAAACCGAUUGUUUGCGUUGACAAAUGGAAUGUAAAUUAAGUUGAGCCAAGGAUAGCUCUUACGCAACGAAACAUUUGGUUUCGGUUAUCCUCCGCAUAUACGAGAUUUGGCUUGUCCGAUGGCAUCAGAGACUAUAUAUAGGAUCGACUUGCAUCCCGGAAAAAACUGACUGAUAAUACACGACAUCGUUGCGUCAUGAACAAUGGAGAAAUUCCAAUGACUUACCAAGACCGCGCGCAGCGACGUCUGUAGCAACAAGGAUUGGUGCCUUGCCUGUUCUGAAAUCUACAAGUUAGACAUAAAUUCGUCUUGCCGGACUCGAGAAAGUCCAGUAAUCUACCGGGCGUGGCGAUGACUAUUUCUACACCGCCGUCC